GUGAAUACUCAAGUAUUCCUAUUCAAGUGACUGAUAAAAAUUCUUUCGUUUUGGUAGGCAUAAUUUUACAUUUUCCAAACAGGUAAAAUAUUCUGGAAUUUCAAUUUCUUGAAUUUACUUUACUUGUGGAAAUAAAGCUUUGCUGAAAGCCAUACUGCUUGAUACUAUGAUUUUGUUUACAUAUCUCUAGAAAGGAGACAAUUGGAAAUGAUGAUAUCACUGUUUUACAGGUAGCCAACACCCUUGGCUGUGUGAAUUUUGGCUGAGAUGGUGAGGAGUGCUGCCACCCAAGUAUGAUUCCACCGCCAAAUCCAUCGAUGUUUCAUACUGAGAAUGGGUGAACAUGAAGAGUAUGGCAACAAUUCAAGGAAAACAAGUUGAUGAACAUAAAGGUUCACAAAGAAGUUGAGGCAUCUUGAGGUGCCAAUAUGUGAUUGUGUGACAGCAGACAGGAAAAUGACUGCAAAUGAGAAUACGGAGGCGAAGAGGGUUGGAGUAAGAGUUCCAGAUGUUUCGACAGCUUACUAGAAAGAAAUGGACUGACGGAAUGCUUCUUAAUUUUCCAGUUUCAUCAAAGAGGUUUACAGAUACAAAACAAAGAAAUGAAGAUGUGUAAGACAAUACCUACAUUCAUCCUGCUGCUUACAGGGUAUUUUGUUCAUUUUAGCAUACAGUGUCACAAUUAAUGCAAGCUGCUGUGACAAACUAUGAACUCUUAAUGAGAUAAAAUGUUCAUCACUGUAAAUUGAGGUCACAUACCAGGUCACCAGUUCCUGAAAG
rnacentral:lncRNA from 1 species